rnacentral:rRNA from 1 species
UUGGUGUUGAUUGCGGUGAGGGUCCACCCGUUCCCAUCCCGAACACGGAAGUUAAGCUCACCUGCGCCGAAAAUACUUGUCUGGAGACGGACCGGGAAGAUAGGUAAUGCCAA